rnacentral:rRNA from 1 species
AGGCAGCAGUGGGGAAUAUUGGACAAUGGGCGCAAGCCUGAUCCAGCCAUGCCGCGUGUGUGAAGAAGCCUUUUGGUUGUAAAGCACUUUAAGCGAGGAGGAGGGUAACCUAGCUAAUAUCUAGGAUUAUCGGACGUUACUCGCAGAAUAAGCACCGGCUAACUCUGUGCCAGCAGCCGCGGUAAUACAGAGGGUGCGAGCGUUAAUCGGAAUUACUGGGCGUAAAGCGCGCGUAGGCGGUUUGUUAAGUCGGAUGUGAAAUCCCCGGGCUCAACCUGGGAACUGCAUUCGAUACUGGCGAGCUAGAGUAUGGGAGAGGAUGGUAGAAUUCCAGGUGUAGCGGUGAAAUGCGUAGAGAUCUGGAGGAAUACCGAUGGCGAAGGCAGCCAUCUGGCCUAAUACUGACGCUGAGGUGCGAAAGCAUGGGGAGCAAACAGGGAUUAGAUACCCUGGUAGUCCAUGCCGUAAACGAUGUCAACUAGCCGUUGGGGACCUUGAGUCUUUAGUGGCGCAGCUAACGCGAUAAGUUGACCGCCUGGGGAGUACGGCCGCAAGGUUAAAACUCAAAUGAAUUGACGGGGGC